GACGAACGCUGGCGGCGUGCUUAACACAUGCAAGUCGAACGAAGAGCGAUGGAAGCUUGCUUCUAUCAAUCUUAGUGGCGAACGGGUGAGUAACGCGUAAUCAACCUGCUCUUCAGAGGGGGACAACAGUUGGAAACGACUUCUAAUACCGCAUACGAUCUAAUCUCGGCAUCGAGGAUAGAUGAAAGGUGGCCUCUACAUGUAAGCUAUCACUGAAGGAGGGGAUUGCGUCUGAUUAGCUAGUUGGCGGGGUAACGGCCCACCAAGGCGAUGAUCAGUAGACGGUCUGAGAGGAUGAACGGCCACAUUGGGACUGAGACACGGCCCAGACUCCUACGGGAGGCAGCAGUGGGGAAUCUUCCGCAAUGGACGAAAGUCUGACGGAGCAACGCCGCGUGAGUGAUGACGGCCUUCGGGUUGUAAAGCUCUGUUAAUCGGGACGAAAGGCCUUCUUGCGAAUAGUGAGAAGGAUUGACGGUACCGGAAUAGAAAGCCACGGCUAACUACGUG
rnacentral:rRNA from 1 species